rnacentral:rRNA from 1 species
CCCUUAGACGUUCUGGGCCGCACGCGCGCUACACUGACACAGGCAACGAGCUUUCCUUUACCGAAAGGUAUGGGUAAUCUUUUGAAACUGUGUCGUGCUGGGGAUAGAUCCUUGCAAUUUUUGAUCUUAAACGAGGAAUUCCUAGUAAGCGCGAGUCAUCAACUCGCGUUGAUUACGUCCCUGCCCUUUGUACACACCGCCCGUCGCUACUACCGAUUGAAUGGCUUAGUGAGGCCUCAGGAUCCGCGCGUAAUGUGUGGAGAAUUUGGACAAACUACGUCAUUUAGAGGAAGUAAAAGUCGUAACA